rnacentral:lncRNA from 1 species
CAGCUGCUCAGCCUGGCACCAAUGGCUUGUCCUGCACCAGUGCUUGGCAUGGGGUCAGGAGGACAGUUUGGGAAGAGUCUCCAGCAGACCGGCAUGCCUGGUCUCACAGAUGACUUCCCAACCCCGUGCCAAUGGGAAACCAACAGAGGCAAGUGGCCAGGGUGGAGAGCCUGGGAGGCAGAGCAGGUGGCCCUGGCACAGCAGGUCUGGCCCAGCAGAAAUCCCUCAAAGGUGGUGCAUGGAGCCUAGACCUGGGACCCAGGAGACCUGGAUCAGUUCCUGCCUCUUCCACAGACAUGCUAUGUGACCACAGACUGGUGCCUUCAUCGCUCCGGGUCUCAAAACUCCUGUCUGGCCUUGAGCCCUGCUUCUCUUCACUGGCUGAUGUGCA